ACGUAAUAUAAAAGUAGAAUGAUACACAAGUGACGGGGUAAUUGCAAAAGAUCUAAUCUUAAAAUAUGGCGUCACUUAAUGGUCUUAAUCCACUACACCGGUAUUUUCGAGAACUUUCUUUAGAAAGUAUAAUUCAAUAGAGUUUUAAGAAAGAUGCUUUAAAACUAAGCACACCAAAAGGGAAUAAUGUAAAGAUACUUCGCCAAAUAUAACAAAUCGUGUUUUCCUGAGUUACUCCUAACAAAAAUUAUCACUCAAGAAAUACGUAUGUAAGCGAAGACGUUGUCUAAAGUGCUUUUUGAACGGUGUCAUUCUAACACCAUGUCGUUAAAAGUGAAAUAUCUUCCAUUGCCUCACAAAAGUUUCCGUAGAUUACGUAUAAUUUCGCAUUGGUGUGAAGGUUGCGUUAAAAUCCGAGGUAAAUUCCAUCCGUUGUACAUUUGUCCACAUAGCUACUUCUACCUCCUCGAGAGAAUCUUAUUAAGUUCAUUUAACGCUAAUAAAACUAUUAUUUCGAUGCAUAAACGUCAGGAAGAAAGUUAACUCCUGAAAGAAAAAGUCUUAGACUUACUAUUAAAUAAUAAAUUUAACUGGAAAUAGCCCUAUUACCUUCAAGGGAAACACUUAAAACAAUUCUCAUCUAAAUUCGAACAGAUCUACAACCAAAAAUAUUUUAGUAAAUAUAAAUAUGAGGCAAAAAGAGCUCUAGUUUUUUUUUGUUAAAUAUAUAUAUCAAUUUUCAUUUUAAAUGCGCUGUGAAAAACAACGCGAACAAUUUUGUGAUAAUGAAAGAGAACUUUAUCAAUGUCGACAAUGUGUUGUUUAUUUCGUUCCGCACCAUCUGAACAGUUUCAUUAAGGAUAUUUUUAUCUAGUGAAAACACAAGAUUUGCUCAAUUAUCGCCCUUCUUUUAUUUAAUGUAUUAAUUACACUUGAUUGUAGCAAUUUUUACUUUGCGGUAAAAUAAUGAUCUCAAACAUAGAUCAUUUUCUCACAUAAAACUAGUAAAGAACCACAUGAGCUUUGAGAAUUAACAAUAACCAAAAUAGCAGGAGGGCAAAAAUAGGACUUCUGGAAGUUGUUACACAAGUUUAUGACAAAAAGAAAAUAUUUAUCGCCGGCGGCAAACACGUUCAUCUACUUUUAUUGUGUGACUACUCUUCUCAAAAUAACAAUAAUUUGAGUGAGGAAACCCAUCUUAUAAGUCAUAGCAUAUUCUAACAGCAUGAUAACAUGAUGCGUUUUGAAAGCAUAAAAAAACUCAAAUUUUUGGACAAAUUCCUCAUUGCAAUUCAUAGAUUCGUUAAACCAUUAACGACGUGUUACAAAUACAAAUCUAUGACGUCAAAUACUAUACAGCCGCUGAUCAUAAUGUGUUUUGAGCCUAAGAAACAAAUAGCAAGUUAAAUAUCAAUUGAAAGUGAUUUUCAUAUAUUUCUGUCGAAAAAUAAAAAAUUCUUACGAUCAAUAGCACUGGCAUUUUAAAUUAUCGUUGAAAGCUAGUUAUAGUUACUAUAAACAUUAAUAAAACAAGAUUCAGAUGAUAGAUAUAAACUGUUACACAACAAGUACUGAGACAGCCUUUCAGGCUUUUUAUAACAAAACUGAAAUGAAAGGGUUACGUAAAUAUAAAUAAUUAUAUGAAAUAAAGUUUUUUUCAAGUUAUUUAAUUUUUUUCUUCAAUCUUGGCGUGAAUGAUAGAUAGUUUCGUGAUGUUUAAUCUAGGAUUAAUGAAGAUCAGCACACGAACAAUAUUAUAUCCCAUAGCAAUUGUUCAAUCAAAUAUUUUACUGCAGAUUGAUUUUUACUGAAAGGGAAAAUGCUAAAGCUAUUCAAUGUAAUCAAAGAACGACAGGAUGUUAGAUAAAUAUAAGAAGACGAUUAUACUUAACCAAAUACUUUCUUAAUGGUUCUCUAAAUUAUAGAUAAGAAUUUCCUUAUGGUGUUUUAAAAAAUGAAUAAUCUCAAUCGAUUUUUUUCAUUUCAUUAAAAUAUUUUGAUGCAAACAAAAAAAUUUCCCUAGAAUGUGAAAGGAAAACUGAUAUAGAAUGAUCUAAAUGCACUUCAAUUAAAAAUACAAUUUAGUAGUUACGUGUACACGAUAUUGAGAGUUAAUAAAACCACAGACAUUUUGUCUAGAAAGAAUUAAUUUGAUACAAAAGCAUUCUUUGUGAGCAUGUAAUUUUUAGCAUAUUGAGCACACAGAGUAGGUUAGCACUACUUAAUUAUCUUUAAAACACAUAAGGUACAGUCACGCAAAAUCAAAAACACGCAAGAAUUUAAGUUUAGAAGAAUAAAAGCUGGUAUAUAAUUAAAUAACCAUGAAAUAUAAUCUAUUUUUGACUCGCGACUAUGAUUGCAUAAUCUAUCGUCGUAAAAGUAAAUGCUUUAAUUCUACACCCUCGUCAUAAACAUAGACGACAGGUGAGAUCAAGUGAUCUUGUCUAUGAAUAAUGGAUUUUCAAACAGCACUAAAAAUUGUUUCAACAGAAAAAACGUUAAUAUUUUUCUUUAACGAUAAGAAAUUUUAUAUCUAUCUUAUAAUAGAUUGCACGCAAUGUCAAAAGAGAGAUCGCCACGUCAAUAUUAUCAAUUUAGAUACUUAUCAGCGUGCAAGACCAUUACCACAGCUUCGUAUUAAGAGGCUAAUUUGAGUAUUCGUUGUUAUGGAAAGUUUGACAUACAGGCAGUUUUCACUGAUAUGGAAAACAAAUAAAGAGCCAAAUGUCUCAAUUUCGAAAACUAGUUUUGACUUUUGAGGAACUCUAUAAGUUGAUUUGAAGUCAACGGCAAUCUUUGGACGUUCAAAUCAUAAGUGUUUAAAAUAACAUUCGUUCUGUGCUUUACUAAGCAUGUCAUUUAUUAUAUUGAGCAAUAAAAAUGUGGAGAAGAUUCUAUCCUGCAUUCCUUCAGGAAAUUAAACACUUUCUAGAAAAGAAUGCCGAGAAAAUACGUUGAACAAAAGAACAUAAAAUAGCAUUCUGAAUGACACGUUGAGGUUUAAAACCUUCUGUUAUCGUACGUAGACGUAACGUAACGAUUUUAAUCUUUAAAGAAAUUGUAUAUGUCAUUGAAGCUAUUCAUUCCUUAGACUUCUUUAAAGAAUUAUGUGCAAAAUGUCAAAGGUGUUUAUAGCAAAAAUGUUAUUUUUAGCACAGCUUUUAUCGCAGAACAAUAAAAAGGAUGGGCGAUACAUACACAAUAGCAUAAAUAUUGCAACAAUUUUGCUUCAAAUGCUUUUAUUCCCCUUUUGGCAAACCGCAAUAUACAAUGAGUUAGGUUAAAACACGAUAUUGUCGAAUGUAUGAGUUAGCUAAAUCGACUUCUCAAGUCAAGCGAGUAAUUUUCCUAUUCACUUCACACGUCACAAACAUGUUGACGACGUAAAUUUAAAUUACUUCAUGUAGUGUGACAUGAAAUAAAACAUUCGCAGACGGUAAUGAGGUUUUUCGACAAAUCUCCUUCUUUAAAAGUGAGCCUGACAACAACAACAACAACAUAACAGCGUUGAUGUGAUUCCUAGUGGUCCAGAUUGUUCUCGUUACAAUACUACGUCACGUGAGAUAUUCUACAUGCAAAGUCACACAUUUUAAAUGCUAAUUAUGAAGAAAUGAUGAUACAACAUUUGAGUAUUUUGGCAAACAGCACGCAUAGGAACAAACACAUUUAACAAAUACUUUCUUUCUCAACUAAAUGACCUUGGCCUUACGACAACUUCAUGCAUGAAUACCAUGGAUUUAUCACAUUGAACGACAGGUCAACAAAAAAUAAAAUGUUUGCGAAGUGGUUUUAAUGACGCCACCCCAUUGACAUUGUGACCUUCCAGAAAAAUUAUUGUUGAUUACAUCAAAGCAUGCAACGCAAGCUGUUCGUGAACAUAACGCGCCCACCUUCGUUUAUUUCUCAAGCAGCAAUAACAUGUGCACAAGAUCAAUCAACAACUAUCACAAAACGACAACAUUGACAAACAUAGAAAUGAGACCAGGUAUUUUCACAAAAUGGAGGUGAAAAGAGAUGAAUACGAUCGACAACAUGUUUUUGUAUAACAAUAUAUCGCAUAGGGAGAUAUGUCGUAUUGCUUUAAUUACUAUAAAGUCAACUUUUAAGUCAACACCAAAGACAUGCAGCUUGUAGGGGUUUCAUCCAUUUAUGUAAUAUAAUGACGUCAAUGGAAUGGUUAUAUUAUAUGGACGACGACUUUC